UGCCAGCCGCCGCGGUAAUACGAAGGGGGCUAGCGUUGUUCGGAAUCACUGGGCGUAAAGCGCACGUAGGCGGACUGAUCAGUUGGGGGUGAAAUCCCAGGGCUCAACCCUGGACGUGCAUUUGAAACAGCAAGACUUGAAUACUGGAGAGGAGAGCGGAAUUCCUGGUGUAGAGGUGAAAUGCGUAGAUAUCUGGAGGAACAUCAGUGGCGAAGGCGGCUCCCUGGCCAAAGACUGACGCUCAUGUGCGAAAGUGUGGGUAGCGAACAGGAUUAGAUA
rnacentral:rRNA from 1 species